UACAUUAAAAACUUGUUCUUUUUCUUUUAUUUGUCCUUGUUGGGUAAAACAUGAAUUGUAAGCACAAAAAUGUCCCUUAAGUUACAAGAAUGUACUUAAGAAAUCAAGUCAUCUUCAGUUAGGAUAGGGUCAUAAUAGAAAGAGCUGAAAAUACAACUUACAGCACCAAGGGUCUUAAUUCUAAACAACAAACUAAUUCCUAUCUGAAUGCAUACGGGGCAUUAAUGACCUCAAGACUGAUUUUCACUUAGAUAUCUACACGAAUGUGUUUUCUUUCUUUUGCAUGCCUUUCCCAAUAUACUAUGUGGGAAGGGUAAGAGGGCGAUGUCAUAGCAACAGACUAAAAACUGGUCUGAAACGUAACACGAAGUUUAAGAUUAGAAAGUUCUACUGUCUGCUACUUCCAGGACACUCAGGUUACCAAGUAGCACCAAUGAAUGAGAGUAACAACUAAACAGUGGAUAAGAAAAAAGAAGACCAAUCCUGAAAAGAACGGAAGCUACUUUUUCCCGUCCUAAUGUUAGGAGGCAGGGUCUUACUUAGCUUAGAAUGGCUUCAGCUAACUACAAAGCAGAAGAUGACUUUAAAUUCGUGAUUCUCCUGCCUCCCCCUCCCACGUGCUAAGAUUACUGGCGUGUGUCAGCAUCAUUAGAAAUUGUUGUUCAUUCUAGAAAACAUAAGGUAGAAGAGUAAGUAUAUUAAAAUUCUAUUUACAAAGAUGGACCCCUUGCCCCUCCACCCCAGACAGGGUUUCUCUGUGUAGUCCUGGCUGUCCUGGAGCUCACUCUGUAGACCAGGAUGGCUUCGAACUCAGAGAUCCACCUGUCUCUGCUUCCUGAAUUUUGGGAUUAAAGGUGUACCCACCUCACCCAGCUCAAUUCUUAUUUUAACACCUCCAAAUAUGAUUAUCAGCUCUUCAGUGCUAUAACUUGUUCGAGAAUGCCCUGAGUAGACAAAGAAAACCAGAACUCCCACUGAAACUGUGGAUUAGAAACAACUGACACUCAGUGGGCACCACACUCUUCAGUGACUGUUUAAUGAAGGUGAACUUCCACCAGUGUGUGUGGGAGGGGGAGGGAGGGGUGUGCCUCACUGUCCUGAUGAACGGUUUCUAUUCCAUAUACUACUGAUGAGAUUUCUGUACCCACAGAUAAAACUCUGAUCACAAGUAGAUUGUAGCUGCUACAGUGAUGGACAAUGGCUCAAAUACCAUUCCCCAAGCAGAUGGGUUAAUAAAGACGAUGAACGUCUUUACAAAUGUAGAAAUGACUGGGAUCUCGUCACUCAGUUCUAGAAUUAUCUUCUUUCAAGCUGCUUGAAGCUGUAAGUGGGCUGGAGUUGCUUCCUGAAACCCGCCUUCCAUCAGUCCUUCACCAUUUUCCCGAUGUUUGUAUGAGUCAGUGGGCAAUCCAGUCCAUGUGCAGACAGACAGCACAGUACUUGCGGAGUUGAGAGGCUUCCUGAAAUAAACCUGGUGUGCUGGUCUCUGUGAGGACAUGCUGAAACUGGGAAUAUCGCUCAUAUUCAAAGAUGAUAUGGAAGCCAGUCAUGCCGCUUUCAAGGUAAGGAAUACUGUACCUUCACAGGUGUGUGCAGCCUGGCUGCUGACCAGGUUGGUGGCCCAUGCUUCAUUUAAAGGGACGUCUUCGUGGUUCCUAGAGAGUGGCCAGGUGAGGUAGAAUUCCCUAUCUGUACAGCGAUUGACACUCAAAGACUGCUGACAUCCAGUGCCCCUGAAACACCACCGAGUGCUGACAGAAAGGGGAAGCAUCUAGAUUUGGGGAGAAUACUGUUUAUCUUUACAUUGCUGGAUUUGUUAGGUCCUCAUCUGAUCCUACACUUCUGACUCUAUUCCAGGUUUAUACCCAAUCAACAUAAAAUUUUACAUCUUGGUCCGCCAUUUAAAAAAAGAAGGGGAAAAAAAGUACUUGGUCAGAGGAGGACCUGACCUUUUCUAAGGGAGUUAUCUAUUGCUCAACACGGGCUGACAAAGUGGGGUCAGAAUUCCACGGAGGGCAGACAACCCAAGGGCAAUGUCAGUCAUACCCACACCACUAUCGAGAUUCCCACACAGUGAUUUAAA
ensembl:lncRNA